UAGUAGGUCUUAAUCACCUUGCCUAGAGAGAGCCAGACUUGGUGAUGCCACCACAUCCAGAAGCCAUCACAGACUGUGACCCAUGUCAGCUCGCAGAAGUGUAUCUUCCACAGUUCUCUGCAUUCUCCCAGUAGCAGCAGAGAAUGAACAUGUCUCAGUUCAUCUGGUUUUUCAAACAGAAGAGUUCACUGCACCUGGGACACAGUUGGUGCUUGAUAAGUGAGUGUUGAUUGAACAGAUGAAUGAGUAAACAAAGGAUGCACUAUCAUUUCUUUUCAGUGAUUAUUUUCUCAACAAUCUAAACACGUAUUAAUAGGUUAUAAUUCAAUCUGAAAUUAGAAUAUGUUUCUUAAAUCUAAGAGUUCCUGAAUUUCAAGUUGGUUCUCACACAACUGAUAAAAGCACUAUUUUAUCAUCUGUUUACUAAAGAAAGAGUCAAUGUCCUGGAUUGGCAAGUUUGAAAGAAAGAUGGGAAAUAUUCUCUCUAACUGGUGUUCUUCUAUGGCUAUGGAACAUUUAAAAUCUACCCCUUGCAAAUCAACAAGAAUUUUAUCUUCAUGUUACUAAACCAUGGUAGACACCACAAAUUUAUUUUAUGAAACUACACUGCAUGUAGAGCAAACUUGUUCCAUUCAUCAAGGCACGCUUGCUCUUACUCUUAUUUACUAAAACUCAAAAAGAGGCAUUCUGUUUGCUUAACCUAGAUAAGUGACAUAUCUUGAGAUCUUUCAUUGCAAAUAAAAACUUACUGAAUUGUCAGGGUCCAGUGAAGAGCAAUAAAUUAAUUAAAUGGAAAAAAUAAUAUAAAGAACUAUUAACUAUAUACAAGCAGUAACUAAAGAUGAAAAGAUAACUCUAAAGAGUAUCCUAGGUCUGAGAAAGAGUGCUUGAGGAAGGAGUAACGUGUGAGGGGCUCCCUCCCCAUGGCUGAGAUUCACUUUUUUCGAGAUGUGGAUUUAGCCUAUUGGAUGAUGGAGAAAUUUUCUCAGCUGCCUAAGCCAAAGUUGGUACACCGUCCAGGCAAGCACGGGAUACUCCUUUAGGCUGCAGGUGGGCAGAGACCACCAAAUAGGCAUGCUGGGGGAGCUAGGCGUCAGCUGUGUGAUACUAAGCCUGGCGUGUGUGGUGUCCACAUUGGGAAAACAGUAGGAGCACCCCUCCAGGGUGCAAGUGGACUGAGGCUGGCAGGUGGUGAGCAGAGGGCGAGCACCAGGGCAUCAGGAACCCAUCUCAGAGAAGUGCAGUGUGAGGCUGGGGGUACCUAAUGUUCACAUUGUGAGGACUGUGAAAAAGUGGGGGUGGGCUGGGGCUGCAAGCUCCCCAUGGGGUCUCACACUCCUGGGGGCCCAGUGGAACAGAGUGUCACUAAAGUUCCACACAUGCACUCCUAGUAAUCAUGAAUUUGGAGCAAAAUAAGGCAAAAUCAAAGCACAUUAAAAAAAGAGAGAGAGAGAAGCCUUUGCUCCUGCAAUGUCCCUCCAGCACCCCAUUUUAAAUCAUAGGUUUAUUAUUCGGGUAUGGUAAGGCCAAGUCAGGAGACAAUUGCCCUUGAAAAGAUAGCUUGUUACUCACAGUUCCCAAGAGGAGAGAGGAGGCCAUGCCACAUAGGGCCACAUAAGGAUGCGUCAGUCGGUCAGGAGGCAGAGGGAGUGAGAGGAAAACAUGGGCAAGAGUCUUUAUUGUGGUCUUCCUGGGAAAGAAUAGGAGAGGCAGGGUAAAUAGGCCUAGGAUCAAGUAGCUUAGAUCAUUUUAGUGAGCUCCAGGGGGUAGGGGCUGCCCCUGGUUGUCUGAUAACUGGCCCUGAAAUGAUUAGUGUAAAGGAGCAGUGGCCCAUAGUACAAGAGCCCAAUAAAAGACUGGUUGAGGGGUAUGGGCUCUGAAUUGUUUAGUGUGCGUCUCAAAGCUGUGCCUGCAAGCAAGCCCUUUGCUGUCUCUAGGAACUGGCUACCUGGCAGUCUCUCCAGGGUCAACAAGGCCCCAGAUGGCAAACCAUCAGACAUACAUGGUUAAUACAACCCCCUACUGACAAGAUGUGUUUACUGCAGAGGAGAAAUGCUUUAUUACCGUAGAUCAAGCAAUGAAGGGGGGAUUUGUAGCUGAGAUGCAUUCAUUACUAACCAGCACAACUACUCAGAUUAUUGAUUAUCCUGUUUAAAGAUUUUCAACCAGUUGAGUUCAGCUCUGAGUGUUUAUUUAUUUCAUUUUAUUUUUUGGUCAGUGAUAGCAUCAUCUUUGGAAAAUUGAUCACUGUGUUUUGUAUUCUGUAAUGGUCAUUUUGACUUAUUUUCCACUGUCCAUUUUAUUCAAAUCAUCAGUUUAAACUAGUCAUAGUCUUUUGACAGAGAUUGAUCCAGAGCAGCAUACGUCUAAGCUGUGUUGACCUGAAACAAAUAAGCUGCCAGGCUUUUCUCAGAAAAGAUGGGUUUACUCUGAAGCAACAGGGAAUUGCAGUUGUAGGUCUGCAACCAUGCUGAGCCACGUGCAAGUUCACGCACCGCAAGGGAAGAAGCACAUUUUCAUAGAGGGAAAAGGAAGUUGGGAGGCUAUAGUAAGCAGAGUCCAUAGCUUUUCAUUGGCCAAGUCCUUGCCAGGAAAGCAAUCUUUCUUACAACCACUGAGCUCGGCUAUCACUGCAGGGUGUGAGAGCUCCCCCUUCUGGUUUCCCAACUCUAUUUAACUCAGGUUUCUGUUUAUUAAUUCUUAAUUUUUUAUAGCAAAUUUAGGUAAGCUAAACUAAAAGGAAAUGUUUGCUAGAAUCUCUGGGGAUGAAAAUGUUCUAGGUCUCAUCAUCGCAUCUGAACUAGAAAAUGCAGCUCUACUGCUCCUGGGAUCCAGCUUGUACACAGGAGGCCAGCUUAAGGGCAAUGCCAGAACAAAGGAGGAUAGAGCUAAGAGAAGAGGUGAGGAAGGAAUACCACCCCUAGAACCUAACUGGGGCUUCCCUGAUAGUUCAGCUGGUAAAGAAUCCACCUGCAAUGCAGGAGACCCCAUUCGAU